rnacentral:rRNA from 1 species
UACAGAGGUGGCGAGCGUUGUUCGGAUUUACUGGGCGUAAAGGGUGCGUAGGCGGCUUUGUGUGUCGGACGUGAAAGCCCACUGCCUAACGGUGGAACGUCGUUCGAAACUGCAGGGCUCGAGUUCAGGAGAGGAGAGCGGAAUUCUCGGUGUAGCGGUGGAAUGCGUUGAUAUCGAGAAGAACACCGGUGGCGUAGGCGGCUCUCUGGAAUGAAACUGACGCUGAGGCACGAAAGCGCGGGGAGCAAACAGG